rfam:Capnocytophaga sp. oral taxon 329 str. F0087 C_spHMPREF9074-1.0_Cont30.1, whole genome shotgun sequence.
GCCGGCAUAGCUCAGUUGGCCAGAGCACGUGAUUUGUAAUCUCGGGGUCGUGGGUUCGAAUCCCUCUGCCGGCU